UACUCACACAGUCGUACUUUUCCUCGUGACAAUGUGCCGAUACCAAGGACCCGUCUAGCCGAUACCACGUGAUUCAUGACGUACUGUAUCAGUAUCGUUGACGAGCAAAAUAUACGGGACCGCAAAAUGUCUGCGGAGUGGAAGUACUUCAAAACUGACGAAAGAAUCCAAAGCACAGCGGACUGUAGACUCUGUUCUGCUAAAAUACCAAGAAAGUGUACGAAACGGUUUCAUACAAGAUGAGUGAUCUAAAGUACAAAAUGUAGGGCUGAGGAUGUCAAGGUGUUCUGAGAUCAGUGAAAACUGCACAUAAGCUGUUGCUGUCCAACCCAGAUCUAAGACUGUACUCUGAUGCUUCAGACUGAACUGCAUGAUGGGAGAUCAGUGCCCAGAGAAAGAAAGGGGAGUCCGCAAUGUGACAGGUUCAUUUUCAGCUCUGCUGCAGUGGAAUGGAUUGUCACAGUCCGAAGUCCACGUUCCCUGACCAGCCCGGCCCCUUCUUUCCAGCCAUUCACAAUCACGCCAAAGGCCUGGUGUUUCCCAUUGGAUGUUAUCUGGCUGUUCCAGCCCACUUUCUCACUUGCAGUGGGGCAGAACCAGCAUUUUCAUCACAGGAUGUUUCAAUAUGGGACAUUCCAGUGGAGCUGCCCCUAGUGGACAGACUGAAUGAGUUUAAGCCAAAUCACCCUGCAACACAUUACAGCUCCUUUCCCCUCACGUCACCAUAAAUAACACUCACUUGCCCCAGAGACAUGGCUUUUCUUCUUCACUUUCAUUGGUGAUGGCUGGGUCAUUUCAACAUACAAAUUCAUAUAAGCUUGACAGGCUAAUGUGGAGAACAGAAGAGCUAUGCUAAGAGCUAUUUUCUGUGCAGCAAACCUGGGGCAACAAAAGUCUUUUCUGUUUACUGGUGUUUGGUGGGGAGAAGCACUAGCUGAUCGCGUCUCCCACAAAUACAUUGCGCUGCUUCCUUUUGCUCUGUGUCGCCCCCAACAGGUGCACUCCAGCACUCACCAUUGAGAGGGUUAGAUUACUCAAUAUCAGGAGAGAGGACAUACAAAAAGAAAGAAAGAAAUGAAUUAAGGAAACACAGGAAGCAGGGAACAUAAGAACAUAAGGGAGUGUGGUAUUAAGAAGCAGAAGGUUAUGGGUUUUGAUUGAGAUGUUUCGUGGAUCUCUGAGCAGGGAGCCCAAACCAGUAGCAUGUCCUGGAACAUCCAUAUCUCCAUUCAUACACCACUGAGGUUCACUGGAUCUGUGUGCAUCUGAAGAGAUGUUCCAGACUCACUUUGAAAAAUGACAUAAUGCAAAAUUGCCUUUUUUUCUAGAGACUUAAAGACCUUGCAGCAUAAC